rnacentral:misc_RNA from 1 species
UGCGAUAAGUAAUGUGAAUUGCAGAGUUCAGUGAAUCAUCGAGUCUUUGAACGCACAUUGCGCCCCCUGGCAUUCCGGGGGGCAUGCCUGUCCGAGCGUCAUUGCUGCCCUCAAGCCCGGCUUGUGUGUUGGGUCGUCGUCCCCCCCGGGGGACGGGCCCGAAAGGCAGCGGCGGCACCGUGUCCGGUCCUCGAGCGUAUGGGGCUUUGUCACCCGCUCGAUUAGGGCCGGCCGGGCGCCAGCCGGCGUCUCCAACCUUAUUUUUCUCAGGUUGACCUCGGAUCAGGUAGGGAUACCCGCUGAACUUAAGC